rnacentral:rRNA from 1 species
UAAUACAGAGGUGGCAAGCGUUGUUCGGAAUUACUGGGCGUAAAGGGCUCGUAGGCGGCCAACUAAGUCGGAUGUGAAAUCCCCAGGCUUAACCUGGGAACUGCAUCCGAUACUGGAUGGCUUGAAUCCGGGAGAGGGAUGCAGAAUUCCAGGUGUAGCGGUGAAAUGCGUAGAUAUCUGGAGGAAUACCGGUGGCGAAGGCGGCAUCCUGGACCGGCAUUGACGCUGAUGAGCGAAAGCUAGGGGAGCAAACGGGAUUAGAUACCCCGGUAGUCCUAGCCCUAAACGAUGAAUGCUUGGUGUGACGGGUAUCGAUCCCUGUCGUGCCGAAGCUAACGCAUUAAGCAUUCCGCCUGGGGAGUACGGUCGCAAGGCUG